rnacentral:rRNA from 1 species
AUUGAACGCUGGCGGCAUGCCUUACACAUGCAAGUCGAACGGUAACAGGGAGCUUGUUCCGCUGACGAGUGGCGAACGGGUGAGUAAUGUAUCGGAACGUACCUUUUAGUGGGGGAUAACGUAGCGAAAGUUACGCUAAUACCGCAUAUUCUCUGAGGAGGAAAGCAGGGGACCUUCGGGCCUUGCGCUAAUAGAGCGGCUGAUAUCAGAUUAGCUAGUUGGUGAGGUAAAGGCUCACCAAGGCGACGAUCUGUAGCGGGUCUGAGAGGAUGAUCCGCCAGACAGGGACUGGGAGACGGUCCAGACUCCUACGGGAGGAAGCAGUGGAGAAUUUUGGACAAUGGGGGCAACCCUGAUCCAGCCAUGCCGCGUGAGUGAAGAAGGCCUUCGGGUUGUAAAGCUCUUUCGGCCGGGAAAAAAUCGCAUGGGUUAAUACCCUGUGUGGAUGAUGGUACCGGAAUAAGAAGCACCGGCUAACUACGUGCCAGCAGCCGCCGCCGUAA